UUGCAUGUCUGUAUCUAUGUAUUUAAUAUGGACAUGUGUGGAAUCAUAGCGAUAAAUUAUCUGGCAUAUCCAAUUAGGUAUCUUGAAUUCAACAAAAUAUACAACCAUAUGUACUCCACAUAGAUUGAAGUCAUAGCAUUGCCUAUGUAACUGAAUGAUCUUUUUCACCAUACAUAGAGGAUAGUCUUAUACAGAAUGAAAGAUUUUCAGACUCCAGAAUUCCUCAGCUUCCAUAUCAAUGACUAAUUCCAUAAAGUUCAGAGAAGCAUCUAGUUUUAAACCUAUCUUAGGGAAAGGACAUCAAAAGGAAUGUGUAGGAAUUCUUUGCAAAUACUAGGUUUUACCCAGCUCAAGGAAAACCAAUAUCCUAAGAAAAAGUAAAAUAGAAUAGAAGGCAUACAGAG